rnacentral:rRNA from 1 species
UAAGGAAUAUUGGUCAAUGGACGCAAGUCUGAGCCAGCCAUGCCGCGUGAAGGAUGAAGGUCCUCUGGAUUGUAAACUUCUUUUAUCUGGGACGAAAACGGGAUUUUUAUCUCAAUUGACGGUACCAGAGGAAUAAGCACCGGCUAACUCCGUGCCAGCAGCCGCGGUAAUACGGAGGGUGCGAGCGUUAUCCGGAUUUACUGGGUUUAAAGGGUGCGUAGGUGGGCUUAUAAGUCAGUGGUGAAAUCUCCGAGCUUAACUUGGAAACUGCCGUUGAUACUAUAGGUCUUGAAUUAUCUGGAGGUAAGCGGAAUAUGUCAUGUAGCGGCGAAAUGCUUAGAUAUGACAUAGAACACCAAUUGCGAAGGCAGCUUACUACAUAUAAAUUGACGCUGAGGCACGAAAGCGUGGGGAUCAAACA